GGGUAAUGAGUCUAUUAAUGACAUUACAAGUAACGACAUAUCAUAUAUAGUUGAUGUUCAGAAAUGAGUUUUAUAGUCAACGCAUAAAAAACGCACAGAAUGCAAUACACAAAUGACAGCUACAGUCAACUACAUAUAUAUUGCAAAAACUGAAAAAGUCAAACAUGAGAGGGAGGGUAUUGGAAGGCCUUAAGUUGACCUAUAAUUCUUUUGAGGGAAGGUAUUGGAGGGCUUAAGUUGGCCUAUGAUUCUUAGAGUUGUUCAAGUUGACCGCUUUUAGAAAAUGAAGCUCUCGCCAAUGGUAUUAAGGUCAAACUGAUGCAUCAGCUUCUAACUUAAGUUAUCAGUACAUUGUAUCCUUAUUGAAGACAAGCAGGAGAGUUCAGUCGAGAUAUAAUUUGAUCAACAUCCGAGCUGCAGUAAGGAUCAGAUCACUGUUAGUAUAAUAUAAUGAACUGGAAUAUUUUAAAGUAAAAUACUAUAAUCAGUUUGGAGUAAUCCAGUGUUCAAAUAUCUAGCUGUGUAAUGUGUUGGUCUCAAAACUGCAUCACAUGACCAGGCCACCGGGGACAAGAGUACAAAUAAUUCAAAAUAUCCUAUUUUCUGAAUUUCUUAUUGACAUAAGGAACAAGGGAGAUAUCAUAAUCAAUUCCAAAUUAGACGUGCAUCUUCUAUGUGGUCACUUGCAUUCAGAUGCAAUUUCAGCCAUUAUUCAUCCUGAUUCCUAAACACAAAUCUACCGUAGAAGCUAUGUACUGCUCAAGAAGAUGCUAUUGUUUUUUAAAGGUUUUUUUUAUCAUUUUUAAAAAGUACCCUGAGGUACUUAAAAAAAUUAGUGUAAAAUUUUAGUAUCUUAAGAUACAUCAUACCUCGAGGCAUUAAAAAUAUGGUAUCUUAGAUGUAAUUUUAGUAUCUUAAGAUACAUCAUACCUUGAGGCAUUAAAAAUAUGGUAUCUUAGAUGUUUUUUAAGAACGGUAAAAUAACUCUUUUUAAAAGGUCGAAGGUACCAUCGAAAGUACAUAUAAUUGGUGGUUACGGCUCACUGUGAUUACAGACUUUCAUUGUUUACACAGAUAGGAACAGGACGAAUGGACGAUGGCCUGGCCCAACCUCAAAUUUAGCCCAAAUAUCAUGUGCCAACCAAAAUCAACAACAUGAUAGGCGGAUAGAUUUUCUGUGUUAUCGUGACGUGCUGAGAUGCGUCACAAGAAUCCCACUGCAUCGGUACCUUCUUACACUCAUAAAACACUACACUACUACAGGACAUACAUUGCGCAGUAAUAAAGUCGAUUCAUUGGCCCAAGUGUCACACAUGCUACGGUCUUGAAGUUGAAUGAUAGAGGUAGAUCAAAAGGAAACAAAUUCAAAGAAUUAGCUAUAUCGACCUUCAAUUAAAAGUCAGGGACGUUUAUAAGUUUUUUACGAGACCUAAGGCAUAAGUAGCCUGGACAGAAACUUUAUCAUUUGAAGUAUUUUCUUCCGAUUUAUUUCCAGAUCCAAAAACAAAUAGUACAACAUAUGACAGAAGUCGGCCACAAAUCUCUUUUAUGCAUUUUACAUACUGUUUCAUUCUACAGAACUAAUUGCAUCCACUAUUCGAUAGAAAAAAAAUUAAAAAGCACGACCUUUCUUAGGGAGAGGCAGCAAGAGCCUACGUAUCAACCGAAUAUUUAAUAUUGUGCAAGCAAGCAAGAUAUCGCACUCAGGAUUAAGACCAGAUUGCCCAUAACGAAGAACCAUUUCAACAAGCACCUUCCAUGCGUGCCCAAUCAGGUAAGAACCAGCGGGUAGAGAAGCUGACCUUGCCAUGUCGCGCGCUGGCCCGCAAGCAAAUCUCCCCCUGAAGCAAUCGGGUGACGGAGGGGAGGCCUGCCGCCUGCCUGAUCGGCGCCGGAUUAGGCGGAGUAGCGAAUACGGAGUACCACCUUAAACCUAAAUCGUACGUGUUCAUCUCAUCUUUCUGGCG
rnacentral:lncRNA from 1 species